rnacentral:lncRNA from 1 species
GUAAAGGAACUUUUGUAAAUAGGCCUUUAGUAACGUGGUGGUGAGGUGUGGAGUGAGAGGAAGUGUUCUAUAGUCCUCAGAUUAGAGCUCAGUCAUUUGGUGAGCCUGUCUCUGGACUGUGAACUUUAUAAGAGUUUCUCAGUUUUUUUUCCUCUUAGAUGAGACAGGAUGGCUGGAGUGCGCUGGAGUUGGAUAGUUUCCUUCUCCCAGGUGGAAGACAAGAGCAGGCCAGAAUUGGGUAUUUCCCUUCCCCCAGGUCACUUCGGCUCUGAUAAUAUCCCAGCAGGUUAGGAUCUGGUUAACUAGUUUCCACUGAGGCAGGCCUUGUUAAGAAAAGGCAUAGGGGCUGGCCUGAUUGCACAGUGGUUGAGUUUGUGUGCUCUGCUUCAGGUGCCCACAGUUUGCAGGUUCAGAUCCUGGGCACAGACGUAGCACCACUUGUCAAGCCACCCUGUAGUCGCAUCCCACAAAAUAGAGGAAGGUUGGCACAGAUGUUAGGUCAGUGACAAUCUUCCUCGCCUCACACACACGCAAAAAAGAUUACACUGGCAUAUUUCAAAAUGGUUCUUUUUUCCCCUCCCCCUACUGGAAGCACAAAGGAGAUUUUUCUCCAGUAUAUACUGUGGGAAUCUGGUUGAGCUCCUGGAGGUGAAUCUCACAGUAUUGUUGGGUUGGGGAGGUCCCCCUUUGAUUGAGUCCACCUGGGGAGUUUUUAACUCUUAGCGUUGUCCUCAUUGAGCCUCCAACAAUUCAUCAACUUUAGUUCUGGGUUUUCUUCCCGGCGCUGCUUCCUGCAGUGGUAUUGGCUCCUGAUUCUCUGCUCAGGAAGAUUGGCCCUGAGCUAUCAUCCAUGCCCAUCUUCCUCUAUUUUAUAUGUGGGACUCCUGCCGUAGCAUUGUUUGGUAAACAGUGCAUAGGUCCAUACCUGGGAUCCAAACCAGUGAACUUCAGGCCUCCGAAGCAGAGUACAAGAACUUAAUCUCUAUGCCACCAGGCAUAACUGAACCAAUGCAAGCCUUGGCUUACUGAGGCAAAUAUCCCUUACUACAUGGAAGAAGAUAAACAAAAGGAUUUCUUCCUGCAGGCAGCCUGGCUGCCCAAAGAACAUAGUAAGGAAGAAGCUCUAAGUCUUGAAGACUAAGAAUUAUGAGAAUUUGGAGCAACUUCCCUCAAGACAGGAACAUUUCAUGCAAGACAGAGAAGAACAUAGGAUUCAGAAUCUGACCAGAAGUGCAGACCCCUGCCUGUGUCCCAUCUAUUAUCCAAUGCCCCAAGCUUGUGGAUACUGAGACUAUUCUGACAUAGAUCCUGAAUUUUGGAUUUCAUGGAAGAAGGAAGAUGCAUGCUGGAUAUUCUCCAUCUGCUUCUUCAGAUUUAUACUCCACCACUUGCCAUGCAGCUCUGAGCUUGAGGAAGCUGCUUUUAAGACAACGUCAAUGGGCUCUCUUGUCCUCCUGUUCUUUGUUGGGUUCAGUAAAUUGGAUGCUCUGGAAGGAGAUCCAGGGGGCUGGAGCAGAGAGAGGUCAGUGUAUCUCCUCCCACAGUUCCCUCCCUGAGAAGCUGCUGUGAGGGAGUGUUCGUGUUCUUCACCCAAGACCGCAUGCCCUCUUCUGAUUCCAGCCUUAACCCCUCAUUUGGUCCCUUUCACCCCAGGUUAAUAAGUCUUCCAACUGUUGAUGGUGCCAGAGUGUUUCAUUGUUCUUUGUUUCCCCUAACCCUGGCCCCCAACUUAAAUCCCUUUACUAAGCAUUCAGUGUAAGAAAACUGUGGGAAGUGGGAAGAAAGAAUGUGCUGCCCCACUUAAAUAAUAAACCUAGUUACUUAGACUGACAUGCACUGCUCAGAUGCUCCGCUCGGUA